rnacentral:rRNA from 1 species
AUUGAACGCUGGCGGCGUGCUUAACACAUGCAAGUCAAGGGGGCCCGCAAGGGUAACCGGCGAACGGGUGCGUAACACGUGAGCAAUCUGCCUCGAUGUGGGGGAUAGCCGGCCCAACGGCCGGGUAAUACCGCAUACGCUCUCUGGGUGGCAUCACUUGGAGAGGAAACAUUUUUGGCAUUGAGAGGAGCUCGCGGCCUAUCAGCUAGUUGGUGGGGUAAUGGCCUACCAAGGCUUUGACGGGUAGCUGGUCUGAGAGGAUGGCCAGCCACAUUGGGACUGAGAUACGGCCCAGACUCCUACGGGAGGCAGCAGUGGGGAAUAUUGCGCAAUGGCCGAAGGCUGACGCAGCGACGCCGCGUGGGGGAUGAAGCAUUUCGGUGUGUAACCCCUGUUGCCCGGGACGAACGAACUGGUUUUGACCAGUCUGACGGUACCGGGUGAGGAAGCACCGGCUAACUACGUGCCAGCAGCCGC